rnacentral:SRP_RNA from 1 species
CCGUGCUAGGUGGGGAGCUAGCGGUGCCCUGUAUCUGCAAUCCGCUACAGCAGAGCUGAAUGCCUGCCUAGGCAUGCAAUAUGAAAGGCAAGUUAUAUGUAAGUGAUGUUGACCUUAAGGUCUUAUGCAACGUUAUUCUGUGAACCGUGUCAGGGCUUGACCGCAGCAGCACUAAGCAGAUAUCAGCGUGUGCCAUGAGUAAACUUUGAGAGAGUUAACUGCAUGUGAGACUCUUUGGUAUAGUAUGUCGAAGCAGGAUGCACGG